CCUGUACCCAAUUUGAGUCUGGAACAGGCCCGCAAGGCACUAAAGCUCAGAGGUGGGGGAGGGGGUGGAAAUCGAUCUAAUUGUUCUGUUAAAAAAAAACCAAACUGGAGCCUCCUGUAUGCAAUAGGCCUAUAAAUAACACCUCCAGCGUCUGCCUCUCCAGCCCCCCACGCUUCGGGCAACGAGGCAGAGAGGGCAGCCGCCUUCUCGACUCUUCCACACUCACCUGGCGCCUGCCUCUUCUUUGGGCCUGCUCUUCCUGUGACCAAGGAGAGGGGACAAGAGAAGAAAAUCAAGCCGGAGGAUCUGCGUCAGGAAACGCCAGCUCCGCAGACUCUCUCUCCAUCAGCGACGAUGCUGCGAUGACCAUCCCGUUGCCCAUCCUUCAGACACCUGCCUGAGAGCUCCCGUUUGUCUACUGCUGCUCAUGCGUGAAGGGCCAGGUGGACGCUCACAAAUCUGGGUUUCCCUGGAGUCAGGCAAUCCUACCUCCCCUACAGGAGGACUGACUGCAGGCUCCGUGUGAGAGGACAGCUACCUCCCUGGGCCGACUGCCCUGCAGCUUCACGGUCAGGGAACAACCAGGGUUGGGAGAACGUUAGGUAUUUCUCUCUCUCAUCCCUUGCUCUGGGGGAAACCAGAUGCCAC
rnacentral:lncRNA from 1 species